UACGAAGGGGGCUAGCGUUGUUCGGAUUUACUGGGCGUAAAGCGCGCGUAGGCGGUUUGUUAAGUGAGAGGUGAAAUCCCAGAGCUCAACUCUGGAACUGCCUUUCAUACUGGCAAGCUAGAGUCCGGAAGAGGUAAGUGGAACUCCUAGUGUAGAGGUGGAAUUCGUAGAUAUUAGGAAGAACACCAGUGGCGAAGGCGGCUUACUGGUCCGGAACUGACGCUGAGGUGCGAAAGCGUGGGGAGC
rnacentral:rRNA from 1 species